GGUUGAUUAUAAAUCAGAUGACCGUGCAUGCGGAUUUGUGUCAAAGUCUGCUGGCAGUUUUGUUUAUGGAGAAAGGAAAGUAAACAGAUGUUUAAUCUCUUUGAACAGAAUAGUGAUUUUCUUCGUGCCUGACUGACACAUACGCUGAGUUGGACAAGGAUGUACCCAACCUCCUGCGACACAUUUGUGGCUUUGCCUCCGUCCACAGAGGGUCAGCAGCGGAUCAUCUUCGGGAAGAACUCGGACAGGCCCUGCGAUGAAGUUCAAGAGGUCGUCUACUUCCCUGCAAAGGAUCAUGGCUCAGGAGACAAAGUUGAGAGCGCCGUCAGUCAAAUCCAUUCCACUUGAGCAAUUAUGGAAUUAAUUUUGAGCCAAUAAAAAUGAACGUAACGUUUCAAGAAACUAAUGAAAAUAUAAAUUGAAACUGAAUAAAAUAUCUUUGAAACUGAAAAAGAAUGAACCGCAAGCAAUUUUUUUGACUUUGUUUUUAAUACACUACAUGUUUUGCUAACUAUUCCUUAUAUUUCUUUUACUGAUCUACACUUACAAAUGCGCUUCCAGAGUUUUCAUUUACGCUUCUGAAGUUUUCGUUUACGCUUCUGGUGUUU